rnacentral:tRNA from 1 species
ACCGGUGGUCUAUCGGUUAGAACGCUGGCCUUGUAAUCCUGGGGUCUCGGGUUCGAUUCCCGGCGGUG